rnacentral:piRNA from 1 species
UUUAUUGUGCCGAUUGAAUAU